rnacentral:rRNA from 1 species
GCGGUAUCCUAACCGUGCAAAGGUAGCGUAAUCACUUGCCCCCUAAAUAGGGGCCCGUAUGAAUGGCCAAAUAAGAACAUACCUGUCUCCUAUGGCAAAUCAAUGAAACUGAGCCCCCAGUACAAAAGCUGGGAUAAAUACACAAGACGAGAAGACCCCGUGGAGCUUCAAACAUAAUGCUACUCUACAAACCCCAUCUUAGAGCAUAGCAAAAGUUUUUGGUUGGGGCAACCACGGAGAAAAAUAAAACCUCCAUGAAACAGGGAAUCUACCCACCCAAGGCCGACACGCCAACGCCAAAAAUUGACCCAGAACCACACUGAUCACCGAAUCAAGUUACCCCGGGGAUAACAGCGCCAUCCUCUCUAAGAGUCCAUAUCACCAAGAGGGUUUACGACCUCGAUGUUGGAUCAGGACACCCCUGUGGUGCAGCCGCUACUAACGGUGCGUUUGUUCAACGCUUAAAGUCCUACGUGAUCU